CCGUGGCAAACAGCUCAGUAACACGUGGCCAAACUACCCUAUGGACGUGGACACCCUCGGGAAACUGAGGCUAAUCCACGAUACGGCUCCCACGCUGGAAGGCGGGGAGCCGGAAACGCUCCGGCGCCACAGGAUGUGACUGCGGCCGAUUAGGUAGACGGUGGGGUAACGGCCCACCGUGCCGAUAAUCGGUACGGGUUGUGAGAGCAAGAGCCCGGAGACGGAAUCUGAGACAAGAUUCCGGGCCCUACGGGGCGCAGCAGGCGCGAAACCUUUACACUGCACGCCAGUGCGAUAGGGGGACUCCGAGUGCGAGGGCGUAUAGUCCUCGCUUUUCUGUACCGUAAGGAGGUACAGGAACAAGUGCUGGGCAAGACCGGUGCCAGCCGCCGCGGUAAUACCGGCAGCACGAGUGAUGGCCGUUCUUAUUGGGCCUAAAGCGUCCGUAGCCGGCCGGACAAGUCCGUUGGGAAAUCCACGCGCUCAACGCGUGGGCGUCCAGCGGAAACUGUCCGGCUUGGGGCCGGAAGACCUGAGGGGUACGUCCGGGGUAGGAGUGAAAUCCUGUAAUCCUGGACGGACCACCGGUGGCGAAAGCGCCUCAGGAAGACGGACCCGACGGUGAGGGACGAAAGCUAGGGUCUCGAAC
rnacentral:rRNA from 1 species